rnacentral:rRNA from 1 species
AUGAACGCUAGCGACAGGCCUAACACAUGCAAGUCGAGGGGCAUCGGGGUGUAGCAAUACGCUGCCGGCGACCGGCGGAUGGGUGAGUAACGCGUAUGCAACCUGCCUUCAGCAGGGGGAUAGCCCGUUGAAAGACGGAUUAAUACCCCGUAACACAGGGGCUCCGCAUGGAGAUUAUUGUUAAAGGGAUGCUUCCUUCGGGGAGUAUUCCGGCUGAAGAUGGGCAUGCGUUCCAUUAGGUAGUUGGUUGAGGUAACGGCUCACCAAGCCUGCGAUGGAUAGGGGAACUGAGAGGUUGGUCCCCCACACUGGUACUGAGACACGGACCAGACUCCUACGGGAGGCAGCAGUGAGGAAUCUUGGUCAAUGGACGGAAGUCUGAACCAGCCAUGUCGCGUGAAGGAGGACGGCCCUAAGGGUUGUAAACUUCUUUUGCAGGGGAAUAAAGUAUUCCACGAGAUGGGAUAUUGCAAGUACGCUGCGAAUAAGGAUCGGCUAACUCCGUG